rnacentral:rRNA from 1 species
AUUAGAGAGAUUUUGCAUUUCUUGUGACCAGUUUCUAGAGGAUCACUGAAGUUGAGCAACGUUGCGCGUGGUUAGUAUCCGGAUGGGUGACCAUCUGGACAAUCUCGUGCUGCUGGCU